AGCUGCACCGGGUCGACAGCGCGGCUGGUCAGCAGGUAGUCGCGCAUCACGAUGCCGUGGCGCCCCUC
rfam:Streptomyces autolyticus strain CGMCC0516, complete genome.